CAUGAUUCUUUUACCAUGAAAAAGAAAAAAAGAUUUUUCGCAAAGAGAGAAAGAACGUGCUUUACAAGAGAAAAUAAAAGAAAAAGAACCUCGACUUUUGAGGACAUAAAAGAUGGAGAUGAUCGUUCAUAUUUUCAUCUUCUUUAAGUAAGCAAAGAUAAAUCAUCAUGAAUCGCAAAGUUCUUCUUCUCCUCAUCUUGGUUCUCGUCACCGUUCAGCUCUCGGGUGCAAACGCAGAUAAGGCUGAUAAUGUGUGGUCAACUUGGAGAUGGGAUCAAGAAGCGGCGAAAACACUGAGAGAUGAACUUCAAGACAGCUAUUAUGAUCAAUUCGGUAAUGAUGAAUUGCAAUGAACUUCAUGACUUUUGCGUACUGCUGCUUGACGCAAAUAAAAAAUAACGAACAUUA